GUCUACAGCCACACCACCCUGAACACACCCAAUCUCGUCUGAUCUCCGAAGCUAAGCAGGGUUGGGACUGGUUAGUACUUGGAUGGGAGAAAAGGUAGUAAGAAUCAGGUUAGGAAUGUCUCCU
rnacentral:rRNA from 1 species